AUGGACGGACCAUUUUGACAGC
rnacentral:siRNA from 1 species